rnacentral:rRNA from 1 species
UACGUAGGGGGCUAGCGUUGUCCGGAAUCAUUGGGCGUAAAGCGCGUGUAGGCGGUCCGGUAAGUCCGCUGUGAAAGUCGAGGGCUCAACCCUCGAAUGCCGGUGGAUACUGUCGGGCUUGAGUACGGGAGAGGCGAGUGGAAUUCCUGGUGUAGCGGUGAAAUGCGCAGAUAUCAGGAGGAACACCGAUUGCGAAGGCAGCUCGCUGGAACGGUACUGACGCUGAGACGCGAAAGCGUGGGGAGCAAACAGG